rnacentral:rRNA from 1 species
CAUAGGCUGGGUUUGGCCCUGGCCUUUCUGUUAGUUCUAGGUAAAACUACACAUGCAAGUAUCCGCGCCCCAGUGAGAAUGCCCUCUAAAUCACACCUGAUUAAAAGGAGCGGGCAUCAAGCACACUACAAAGUAGCUCAUAACGCCUUGCUUAACCACGCCCCCACGGGAAACAGCAGUGAUAAAAAUUAAGCCAUGAACGAAAGUUUGACUAAGUUAUACCUAUUCCCAGGGUUGGUAAAUUUCGUGCCAGCCACCGCGGUCACACGAUUAACCCAAAUUAACAGAAAUACGGCGUAAAGCGUGUUUAAGAGUACAAAAAAUAAAGUUAAAUUCUAACUAAGCCGUAAAAAGCCCUAGCUAAAAUAAAAAUAAACUACGAAAGUGACUUUACGAAUUCUGAAUACACGAUAGCUAAGACCCAAACUGGGAUUAGAUACCCCACUAUGCUUAGCCCUAAACCUAAACAAUCAACACAACAACAUUGUUCGCCAGAGUACUACUAGCAAUAGCUUAAAACUCAAAGGACUUGGCGGUGCUUUAUACCCCUCUAGAGGAGCCUGUCCUUUAUCGAUAACCCCGAUAGACUCACCGCCCUUGCAAUUCAGCCUAUAUCCGCCAUCCCCAGCAAACCUAAAAGGAACUGUGUAGCAUAACCUAUAGACAUAAAACGUUAGGUC